rnacentral:lncRNA from 1 species
UUUUGUAUGGUGGUGGUGGAGGAGGAGAUUUGUAUUUGUAGACGGGUGGUGGGGGUGGUGGAGACUUGUAGUGGUACGGUGGGUGAUAUGGUUUUUUGUAUGGUGGUGGCGGAGGAGGAGAUUUGUAUUUGUAGACAGGAGGUGGAGGUGGUGGAGACUUAUAGUGGUACGGUGGGUGAUAUGGUUUUUUGUGUGGUGGUGGUGGGGGGGGAGAUUUGUAUUUGUAUACUGGUGGUGGUGGAGAUUUGUACUUGUAAAUGGGUGUAGGUGGGUGGUAUGGCUUCUUAUAUGGUGGUGGAGGAGGUGGUGACUUGUAUUUGUAGACGGGUGGUGGUGGAGACUUGUACUUGUAAACUGGUGUAGGUGGGUGGUAUGGCUUCUUGUAGGGUGGUGGUGGAGGUGGUGACUUGUAUUUAUAAAUCGGUGGUGGCGGAGAUUUGUAUUUGUAAAUGGGUGUUGGUGGGUGGUAUGGCUUCUUGUAAGGUGGUGGUGGCGGAGGUGACUUGUACUUAUAGACGGGUGGUGGUGGAGAUUUGUACUUAUAAAUGGGUGUGGGGGGAUGAUAUGGCUUCUUGUAGGGUGGUGGAGGAGAUUUAUAUUUGUAAACUGGUGGUGGUGGAGACUUAUACUUGUAAAUGGGUGUUGGUGGGUGGUACGGUUUUUUGUACGGUGGUGGUGGUGGUGGUGACUUAUACUUGUAAACAGGUGGAGGUGGAGAUUUGUGGUGAUGAGGUGGGUGAUAUGGUUUCUUGUACG